GAUGAACGCUGGCGGCGUGCCUAAUACAUGCAAGUCGAGCGAAUGGAUUAAGAGCUUGCUCUUAUGAAGUUAGCGGCGGACGGGUGAGUAACACGUGGGUAACCUGCCCAUAAGACUGGGAUAACUCCGGGAAACCGGGGCUAAUACCGGAUAACAUUUUGAACCGCAUGGUUCGAAAUUGAAAGGCGGCUUCGGCUGUCACUUAUGGAUGGACCCGCGUCGCAUUAGCUAGUUGGUGAGGUAACGGCUCACCAAGGCAACGAGGCGUAGCCGACCUGAGAGGGUGAUCGGCCACAAUGGGACUGAGACACGGCCCAGACUCCUACGGGAGGCAGCAGUAGGGAAUCUUCCGCAAUGGAGGGAAGUCUGACGGAGCAACGCCGCGUGAGUGAUGAAGGCUUUCGGGUCGUAAAACUCUGUUGUUAGGGAAGAACAAGUGCUAGUUGAAUAAGCUGGCACCUUGACGGUACCUAACCAGAAAGCCACGGCUAACUACGUGCCAGCCGCCGCCGUAA
rnacentral:rRNA from 1 species